rnacentral:tRNA from 1 species
AUUUAUAUAGUAUAUAAUUGUAUAUAUGACUUCCAAUCAUAAGGUCUAAUAAAAAUUAGUAUAAAUA